AACUUUCAACAACGGAUCUCUUGGUUCUGGCAUCGAUGAAGAACGCAGCAAAAUGCGAUAAGUAAUGUGAAUUGCAGAAUUCAGUGAAUCAUCGAAUCUUUGAACGCACAUUGCGCCCACCAGUAUUCUGGCGGGCAUGCCUGUUCGAGCGUCAUUU
rnacentral:rRNA from 1 species